rnacentral:rRNA from 1 species
UACGAAGGGUGCAAGCGUUACUCGGAAUUACUGGGCGUAAAGCGUGCGCAGGCGGUUCGUUAUGUCCGUUGUGAAAGCCCCGGGCUCAACCUGGGAAUGGCAAUGGAAACUGGCGGGCUAGAGUGUGGCAGAGGGGGGUGGAAUUCCGCGUGUAGCAGUGAAAUGCGUAGAGAUGCGGAGGAACACCGAUGGCGAAGGCAGCCCCCUGGGCUGACACUGACGCUCAGGCACGAAAGCGUGGGGAGCAAACAGG